AUUCCAGCUCCAAUAGCGUAUAUUAAAGUUGUUGCGGUUAAAAAGCUCGUAGUUGGAUUUCUGCCGAGGACGACCGGUCUGCCCACUGGGUGUGUAUCUGGCUCGGCCUGGGCAUCUUCUUGGAGAACGUAUCUGCACUUGACUGUGUGGUGCGGUAUCCAGGACCUUUACUUUGAGGAAAUUAGAGUGUUUCAAGCAGGCACACGCCUUGAAUACAUUAGCAUGGAAUAAUAAGAUAGGACCUCGGUUCUAUUUUGUUGGUUUCUAGAACUGUGGUAAUGAUUAAGAGGGACAGUUGGGGGCAUUAGUAUUUUGUUGUCAGAGGUGAAAUUCUUGGAUUUACGAAAGACUAACAACUGCGAAAGCAUUUGCCAAGAAUGUUUUCAUUG
rnacentral:rRNA from 1 species